UACGGAGGGUGCAAGCGUUAAUCGGAAUUACUGGGCGUAAAGCGCACGCAGGCGGUUUGUUCAGUCGGAUGUGAAAUCCCCGGGCUCAACCCGGGAACUGCACCCGAAACUGGCAAGCUAGAGUCUUGUAGAGGGGGGUAGAAUUCCAGGUGUAGCGGUGAAAUGCGUAGAGAUCUGGAGGAAUACCGGUGGCGAAGGCGGCCCCCUGGACCAAGACUGACGCUCAGGUGCGAAAGCGUGGGGAGCAAACAGG
rnacentral:rRNA from 1 species